UGUAUGUACGCAAUGGAAACAUACAUUAAUCAAUAUCUGCUCCCUCGACCGAAUUUCCUUUGAGUCGUCUGUUUGAAGUUCUAAAUUGGCAGGCUGAAGAUCAACGGUCUUCGGAUGCCUUAUCGGCGGACGCCUAGAUGCACAACGGAGCAGCGCCGAUCACCCGAGUUAUCAUCCUGCAUCGAACGUACUGUUUGACGAGGUCGGAGGCCCGCUAAAUAUAUGGGACGGGACGUCGCAGCAAUUAAAAAUUCCACGGAGGUUGCGCAAACGAUGCGUAAACGACGCACCUUAUCUUUUCGAUCGUGUAUUUCUUCAAAUUUUCUUGUCAGAUUUAUUGGUAGUCGAAAUUGUACAACUUAAUUAGACAAUGAGACGGGAUGUCGGUGAUUACUUAGCCGCAGCAGCUUUCGGUU